rnacentral:misc_RNA from 1 species
AUAAAAUUAAAUAUUUAUUUUGGAUUUAUUUACAAAUUUGGCUGAAUUUUUUUCAGACUAAUUAUUGUAUUUGGAGUUAUUAUAUUUAAAGAAGUAAACAUUUUUUUAAAUCUAAUGAUGAAAAGAAUAUUGGUGAUGGUUGGAGUUUAUUUAGUUAUAUGACUGAAUUUAAAUAUAAACUUUAAAAAAAAAUAAAAAUUAAUGUUUUUACUUUAAAAAUGUUGUAUACUAGCAUAGAUGAAUAGAUGGGAGGAAUAUAGAUGGAUGAAUUUAAAUUAGAUAAAACAAUUAGUAAAGCAAUAGUUGAUGGAACUUUAAAAGGUUAUUUACAGUAUCUUGAAGAGAGAAAAAGCAAAAAAGAGACAAUGAAUGUU